UCGGGAGUUGCCAAAUUGUUAAGGCGCGGGAUCAGCUGCAGCAGGGAGGCUUAGGAAAGCUGCAAUAUCAGCUGUUCUGCAUUUCCGGUAACCUAAAUGGAAUGUAGGUUGUUCCAUGCUCGGUCUUUUCUUUCGAAACCACCCAGAAGUGCAGACGCCCAAAUAGUAUCUCUCUGCAAGUGUAAAUUUUAUCAGCGCAAGAGCAGCGCAAGUGCAGUGUUCAUUUUUUUAUUUAUCAACUACCAAAUUUGCAACGGUGAUAAGGGCAGCCUAAGCCUGUGUUUGUGGGUUUUUUUUGUUUUUGUUUCGCGGCUUUAUAAAAGCGCGACCUCGUGGCGGCCUUAUCAAAAUUUAUCAGGCGGUCCACCUCAAAGCACCCCGGGAGCGCUCCUGGUGGAGGCUCCCAGUUCAGGAGCGGCUUAACCUCGAUCGGGUAAUCCGUCUCCCCCCCUCAUCUUCACCAC
rnacentral:sRNA from 1 species